CUAAGACCUGCAAGACUCCACUUACAUCUUCUGAAUGCAACUCA
rnacentral:tRNA from 1 species